CUUGAACGCUGGCGGCAGGCUUCACAAAUGCAAGUCGAACGAGUGGCGGACGGGUGAGUAAUGAUUGGGAAUCUAGCUUAUGGAGGGGGAUAACUACGGGAAACUGUAGCUAAUAACGCGUACCAUAGGAUGAGCCCACGUGGGAUUAGGUAGUUGGUUAGGGAAAGGCUCACCAAGCCGACGAUCUCUAGCUGGUCUGAGAGGAUGACCACCCACCAUGGGACUUAGACACGGCCCAGACUCCUACGGGAGGCAGCAGUGGUGAAUAUUGCUCAAUGGGGGCAACCUGACGCAGCCAUGCCGCGUGAAUGAAGAAGGCCUGCGGGUUGUAAAGUUCUUUCGGUAGCGAGGCGUUAACUACAGAAGAAGCACCGGCUAACUCCGUGCCAGCAGCCGCGGUAAUUC
rnacentral:rRNA from 1 species